rnacentral:rRNA from 1 species
UACGGGGGGAGCAAGCGUUGUUCGGAUUUACUGGGCGUAAAGGGCGCGUAGGCGGUCGUGACACGCCACUUGUGAAAUCUCCGGGCUUAACUCGGAACGGUCAAGUGAUACUGUCGGACUAGAGUACAGAAGGGGCAACUGGAAUUCUCGGUGUAGCGGUGAAAUGCGUAGAUAUCGAGAGGAACACCUGCGGCGAAGGCGGGUUGCUGGGCUGAUACUGACGCUGAGGCGCGAAAGCCAGGGGAGCGAACGGG